rnacentral:rRNA from 1 species
AUGGGCGAUGUAAGGAUCGUGUCCCGGCGCAUGGUCCGGCCGGAACUAAUCGCCUCGGGGCCGCCGGAGACCAUCCACCUGACGCCAUGGGAUCUCCGGGUGAUCACCGUGGACAACAUCCAGAAGGGCAUCCUCCUGCCCAAGCCUCCAGCCACCGGAGGACGGGGACACGAUGCCGCCGCCAUGGUCGAACGGCUCGAGUUGUCCUUCGCGCGCGCUCUGGGGCGCUUCUACCCCUACGCCGGCCGCCUCGCCGUCGCGCCGGGGAGCAAAGACGACGCGGAGGGCGAGCGCAUGGCCAUCUCGCUCCGCUGCAGCGGCGAGGGCGCCGAGUUCGUCCACGCCGUGGCGCCCGGCGUCGCCGUCGCGGACAUCACCGUCCCGCUCUGCAUCCCGAGGGUGGUCUGGUCCUUCUUCCCUCUGGACAGGCUGCUCGGCGUUGACGCCAUCGCGGACUCCCGCCCUGUCCUGGCCGCGCAGGUCACCGAGCUCGCCGACGGCGUAUUCGUUGCCAUGUCGGCCAACCACGGCGUCGCCGACGGGACGACCUUCUGGCACUUCUUCAACACCUGGUCGGAGAUCAGUCGCCUGAGCGACGGCGACGCUGGCUGCGAGAUCUCCUCGCCGUUGCCGGUGCACCGGAGGUGGUUCCUGGACGGCUGCCCCGUCCCGAUCCCUCUGCCCUUCGGCAAGCUCGAGGACAUCGUCGGCCAGCGUGUAGAUACGUACCCGCCGGUGGAGGAAUGCUUUCUCCAUUUCUCGGCGGAGAGCGUGAGGAAGCUGAAGGCAAAGGCGAACGCCGAGAUGGCCGGUACGGCAGCCACGGGCACCGCCAUCUCCUCGCUGCAGGCCCUGCUCGCGCACCUGUGGCGUGCGGUGUGCCGGGCCAGGAGGCUCGCGCCGGACCAGAAGACCACGUACCAUCUCCUCGCCGGAUGCCGCGGCCGCGUGGACGGCAUACCGGCGUCCUACGCGGGCAAUGCUGUGGAGCACGCCACGGCGAUUUCCACCGCCGGCGAGAUCCUCGAGAGGGGGCUGGGCUGGGCGGCGUGGCUACUUAACAGGGCCGUGGCGUCGUUCGACGAGGCCAGUGCGAGGGGUAGGCUCGCGUCCUGGCCCCGGAACCCCGGCUUCUUGCGCAUGUCGGAGGUCGUGACCGCCCCGCACCCGCACACAACGGUGGCGACAGGGAGCUCGCCGCGGUUCGACGUGUACGGCAACGACUUCGGGUGGGGCAGCCCCGUGGCCGUGCGCAGCGGCUCGGGGAACAAGGUGGAUGGAAAGGUGACCGUGUACGAGGGCAGAGGCGGCGGAGGGAGCAUUGCCCUGGAGGUUUGUCUGUCACCGGAGGCGUUUCCCAGGCUCCUCGCCGACGAGGAGUUCAUGGGCAUGGUGGGCGCGACUGAUUAA